GUGGGGAAUAUUGGACAAUGGGCGAAAGCCUGAUCCAGCCAUGCCGCGUGUGUGAAGAAGGUCUUCGGAUUGUAAAGCACUUUAAGUUGGGAGGAAGGGCAGUAAGUUAAUACCUUGCUGUUUUGACGUUACCGACAGAAUAAGCACCGGCUAACUUCGUGCCAGCAGUCGCGGUAAUACGAAGGGUGCAAGCGUUAAUCGGAAUUACUGGGCGUAAAGCGCGCGUAGGUGGUUUUGUAAGUUGGAGGUGAAAUCCCCGGGCUCAACCUGGGAACUGCCUCCAAAACUGCAUGACUAGAGUACGGUAGAGGGUAGUGGAAUUUCCUGUGUAGCGGUGAAAUGCGUAGAUAUAGGAAGGAACACCAGUGGCGAAGGCGACUACCUGGACUGAUACUGACACUGAGGUGCGAAAGCGUGGGGAGCAAACAGGAUUAGAUACCCCGGUAGUCC
rnacentral:rRNA from 1 species